GCGUCCAUAGCUCAGCUGGAUAGAGCGCCGGACUUCGAAUCCGUAGGUCGCAGGUUCGAAUCCUGCUGGACGUA
rnacentral:tRNA from 2 species